AAACAUUUGCUAGUCAGACAAGUGACAGGGAAUGGAUUCCAAACACCAGUGUGUGAAGCUAAAUGAUGGCCACUUCAUGCCUGUAUUGGGAUUUGGCACCUAUGCACCUCCAGAGGUUCCGAGAAGUAAAGCUUUGGAGGUCACAAAAUUAGCAAUAGAAGCUGGGUUCCGCCAUAUAGAUUCUGCUCAUUUAUACAAUAAUGAGGAGCAGGUUGGACUGGCCAUCCGAAGCAAGAUUGCAGAUGGCAGUGUGAAGAGAGAAGACAUAUUCUACACUUCAAAGCUUUGGUCCACUUUUCAUCGACCAGAGUUGGUCCGACCAGCCUUGGAAAACUCGCUGAAAAAAGCUCAAUUGGACUAUGUUGACCUCUAUCUUAUUCAUUCUCCAAUGUCUCUAAAGGUAUGCAGUUUGUAUGAGCAUAAAAUUACGCUUCUGCUGUCAUUAUAAACAUUGUUUAUCUGGAUAGUUGAACAGAGCUUUUUAUUAGGAGGAUGUAGGGAUUAUCACACAGAAGAAGAACCGUAAGUGGAACACCUAAUUUCCUUUCUUUCGAGUAAAUUUUGAAUCCUACUUCUCUAAUGCACACCUACAAGAGAAGAGAGUACAGCAACCUCAAAGCCUCUUCCUCAAAAACUUGAAAUUACAAUAGUCUCUUUCAAGGCACUGUCUUAGUUGUGGCUUUUGAGUCCAUCUCUUGGGAUGUUCCCAGACAGAGUUUCAUGCAGUUGUGGUGCCCAAUAAAACUGCUGCACAUGUGAUGCACAAUGAGUUUCCACCAUCUCUCCCCAUUUCAAGCUGAAGCAGAUUUGGUGGAAGCCACUAUGCAUGGUUCUUAAAUUAGAAACCCUUAAUGUGGACUUGCAAAGCUUUAUUAUUCUGCUGCCUCUUCUUUCACAAUAGAGUUUGAAGCUGUAUUUAGCCAGGAAUUACUGUGUAGUGUAUAACUUUUGAUUUAAAGUUACAGAAAUCUACUCAGGCUAGUUAAUGCAACAGAGUUUACUGAGUUAUAUAAAAUGGGAAGUC
rnacentral:sRNA from 1 species